rnacentral:rRNA from 1 species
GACAGAGGGGGCAAGCGUUGCUCGGAAUUACUGGGCGUAAAGGGCGCGUAGGCGGGAUGGCAAGUCGGUCGUGAAAUCCCUCGGCUCAACUGAGGAUCGUCGAUCGAUACUGCCGUUCUUGAGGAUUGCAGAGGAGACUGGAAUUCCCGGUGUAGCGGUGAAAUGUGUAGAGAUCGGGAGGAACACCGGUGGCGAAGGCGGGUCUCUGGGCAAUUCCUGACGCUGAGGCGCGAAAGCGUGGGGAGCAUACAGG